rnacentral:ncRNA from 1 species
UUUAAUAACGAAAAACCUUGUAUAAGUUCAAGAAUAUGGCUUGAACGUCUCUACCAGGCUGCCGUAAAUGGCCUGUCUACAAGGGGCAAUAUUGU